CACGUAGGGGGCGAGCGUUGUCCGGAUUUAUUGGGCGUAAAGAGCUCGUAGGCGGCUCGGUAAGUCAGGUGUGAAACCUCCAGGCUCAACCUGGAGGCGCCACCUGAUACUGCCGUGGCUAGAGUCCGGUAGAGGAGCGUAGAAUUCCUGGUGUAGCGGUGAAAUGCGUAGAUAUCUGGAAGAACACCAAUGGCGAAAGCAGCUCUCUGGGACGGUACUGACGCUGAGACGCGAAAGCGUGGGGAGCGAACAGG
rnacentral:rRNA from 1 species